GGGGCCUUAGCUCAGCUGGGAGAGCGCUUCGCUGGCAGCGAAGAGGUCAGGAGUUCGAUCCUCCUAGGCUCCACCA
rnacentral:tRNA from 41 species